rnacentral:rRNA from 1 species
CCUACGGGAGGCAGCAGUGAGGAAUAUUGGUCAAUGGACGAGAGUCUGAACCAGCCAAGUAGCGUGAAGGAUGACUGCCCUAUGGGUUGUAAACUUCUUUUAUAUGGGAAUAAAAUGUUCCACGUGUGGGAUUUUGUAUGUACCAUAUGAAUAAGGAUCGGCUAACUCCGUGCCAGCAGCCGCGGUCAUACGGAGGAUCCGCGCGUUAUCCGGAUUGAUUGGGUUUAAAGGGAGCGUAGGUGGAUUGUUAAGUCAGUUGUGAAAGUUUGCGGCGCAACCGUAAAAUUGCAGUUGAAACUGGCAGUCUUGAGUACAGUAGAGGUGGGCGGAAUUCGUGGUGUAGCGGUGAAAUGCUUAGAUAUCACGAAGAACUCCGAUUGCGAAGGCAGCUCACUGGACUGCAACUGACACUGAGGCUCGAAAGUGUGGGUAUCAAACAGGAUUAGAUACCCUGGUAGUC